CUGAUAACUGCCCCCCAGAGAGUCCUUUGGGAUGUGGGAGAGCAGAAAAUAGCUGCGUGGCCCUGCUGCAGGGGUGUUUCCUCAUCCAUGCAAGGAUCCACCUCUAGCAGGACUGCAGCCAGCAACUGCUGAGAGAUUCACUGCAGCUUGAAGCAAGGAGCUUGCUUUUGUCAGAGCAAACUGCGUGCCCUGGGCUGGGACAGAAAGCUGCAGGGAGGGGAUGUCAUGCUGAAUUCCCUCUAGCCUCAUAGACAGUGUGUCUGGCUGAGCACGGGCAGCUGCAGGUACCUGGUGUGGCUGCUUCAUCCCCCUGGCUGAGCACCAGAGGUGAGCAGGACCCACAGGCACCUGGGCAGUCCCAGACGUGGCUCCUCACAUUAUGGGGAGUGAAGAGCAGGCAGGGAACAGCUGAGAUUUGGGUCUGUGCCCUUGUAAUGAGCAGUGGACAUAUGGGGUAAGACUUCCUGAGAAGUGGGUGUGCAUACAGGUUCCCUGCUCAGCUAAAGCAGUGUAACCAUAUUCUUUCUACUAUUUUUUUAUUAUUAUUAUUUUUUUGUUUUUAUCAAAAGCUAAUGUCACAAGGAGGUGAAGGGAGGAACAGGAGGCAUGGUGACACCAUCCUGCACUAGCAGGUAGCUCUGUGAUGCCUCUGGGACGCAGAAGAUCUGAGCUUAAGUCUUCCUCCAGCUUUCAUCUGCUCCACACAAAAUGCAGCAGCUGCUGAAAGCUGAGAGCACGGCAUGCCAGCGUACUCUUGUGGGCAGUUGACUUAUUAAUGAUUUAAGCCUUGUGGGAUGGAGACUGACAUCAGGCUGCCCUUCCUCUCACACAGCCAAGGAAAGCUGAUGUGCAUCCCUCUAGCACAUGCCACAAACGUGAAAGAGAAAGGAGCUGUGUGCCCUAAGCCAGUCUGCCCUUGUACAUCCUCGCUUGGCCCCAAGUAUUCAGAAAUAUUCCAAGAAAGCUCUCCUGCAGCAAGGUCAGGGCAAUGGCACAUAGGGAUGCUGUCACAGGUCAUUGAGGGGGUUGCUGUAGACUUGAAAAGAAAGCAAGCCCCGCUUGGAGGGAGGCAGGAGGCAAAAAGCAUCUUCCUUCGUGCUGGGAUGGGGCAGUGCAGCUGCACAUGGGUAGAACAGAUGUGGAAGUACCAAAAUCAAGGUAGAAAUAAUCCCACCUCCACUCAUACACUGUCCUUGAAAUUGUAG
rnacentral:lncRNA from 1 species